rnacentral:rRNA from 1 species
UACGAAGGGGGCUAGCGUUGCUCGGAAUUACUGGGCGUAAAGGGCGCGUAGGCAGCACUGUUAGUCAGGCGUGAAAUUCCUGGGCUCAACCUGGGGACUGCGCUUGAUACGGCAGAGCUUGAGGAUGGAAGAGGGUCGCGGAAUUCCCAGUGUAGAGGUGAAAUUCGUAGAUAUUGGGAAGAACACCGGUGGCGAAGGCGGCGACCUGGUCCAUUACUGACGCUGAGGCGCGACAGCGUGGGGAGCAAACAGG